UAUAGAUGGAUCCGCGCUGCAUUAGCUAGUUGGUAAGGUAACGGCUUACCAAGGCAACGAUGCAUAGCCGACCUGAGAGGGUGAUCGGCCACACUGGAACUGAGACACGGUCCAGACUCCUACGGGAGGCAGCAGUAGGGAAUCUUCCGCAAUGGGCGAAAGCCUGACGGAGCAACGCCGCGUGAGUGAUGAAGGUCUUCGGAUCGUAAAACUCUGUUAUUAGGGAAGAACAUAUGUGUAAGUAACUGUGCACAUCUUGACGGUACCUAAUCAGAAAGCCACGGCUAACUACGUGCCAGCAGCCGCGGUAAUACGUAGGUGGCAAGCGUUAUCCGGAAUUAUUGGGCGUAAAGCGCGCGUAGGCGGUUUUUUAAGUCUGAUGUGAAAGCCCACGGCUCAACCGUGGAGGGUCAUUGGAAACUGGAAAACUUGAGUGCAGAAGAGGAAAGUGGAAUUCCAUGUGUAGCGGUGAAAUGCGCAGAGAUAUGGAGGAACACCAGUGGCGAAGGCGACUUUCUGGUCUGUAACUGACGCUGAUGUGCGAAAGCG
rnacentral:rRNA from 1 species